rnacentral:rRNA from 1 species
AUUGAACGCUGGCGGCAGGCCUAACACAUGCAAGUCGAGCGAGUGGCGGACGGGUGAGUAAAGUAUGGGGACUGCCCGAUAUAGGGGGAUAACUACUGGAAACGGUAGCUAAUACCGCAUACUAUCGGAUAACCCAUAUGGGAUUAGCUAGUGGGGGGGGUAAUGGCUCACCUAGGCGACGAUCCCUAGCUGGCCUGAGAGGAUGAUCAGCCACACUGGGACUGAGACACGGCCCAGACUCCUACGGAGGAAGCAGUGGGGAAUAUUGCACAAUGAGCGCAAGCCGGACGCAGCCAUGCCGCGUGUAUGAAGAGGGCCCUAGGGUUGUAAAGUACUUUCAGUCGGGAGGCGUUACCGACAGAAGAAGCACCGGCUAACUACGUGCCAGCAGCCGCGGUAAUAC